rnacentral:tRNA from 3 species
CGGGGUGUAGUCCAACGGUAGGACGUACCCUUGGGGUGGGUAAAGCCGGAGUUCGACUCUCCGCACUCCGA